GAUGACAAGCAGCUUUGACUUCCUUCUGUUUUCAUGUUGAACAGCAGCUGCUGCUAGAGCCUGGUAUGUCUGAGAUGAUUCCCACUCAUCACUGACUCUCUUGGGUGAGAGGAAGCACCACACUCAUCCCUAGAAGAGUCUGAAGAAAAAGUGGAGGAAGCUGGAACUAAGUUCAAUGCAGCUCAACAGCUAUGGGAAGCAUGCCGCUGUGGGAUGUUCAGAGUGGAGGAGGCCACACAUGUGCAGGUGCCGCUCUGGAAACAUCUGGGCUGUGAAGGUGAACACUGCAGGAGAGGAGCAGUAGACACCACAUGGGUGCUGAGAAUUGAACCUGGGUCAUUUGGAAGAGCAGCUAAUAAUCUCCUAAUUGCCAAGCCACCUUCCUGUCCCUGUACACUGCUUCUGUAGCCGAGUAUUCUUUGUUUGUUUUAAGCCUGAGUCUCAUGUGGCCUGAAUGAUCUCACCCUGACUGUGUAGCUGAGGAUGACCUUAAACUCCUGGUCCUCCUGCCUCCACCUCAGAAGUCUGGGAUUACAAGUGAGCUGCUGUGUCUGGUGUUGGAAACACUUUUCUAUAUUAAUCUGCCUUAAACAUGACUUUAUUUUAUUCUUUAAGUACUAUAGUUGACUGUUAACUAUUGGAAAUGUGCAUCCAACAUUUUAAAUUAUAUAUUACACGUGAGUGAACAUUUUUAUAAGGAAACCCACUGGGCAUACCAUGAAUAUUACUUUGGCUAGAUUCUUAAAAGUGAAACAGUGAGCCAAGGGGAGUGAACACUUUCAGGCUCUGGUACAUUUUGCCUACUUGCUUUUGGUAUAAUAAAUUCACCCUCCCAAGGCACAGAAGGUGAGGCUUGCCGCUGCCUUGCAUCCUAACAUAGCUCUACUCUUAACUCUCAACAUUCUGUUUGCUUUCUUUUUUUAAUUUUUUAAAAUUUCAAGGUACUAUACAAGAAAGUUUCAGUCAAAGAUUAAUUUGGGGAUAUAAACAAAGAUUCUGAUCGUUCCUUUCUCUGUUGUAUAUAAGAGACUAAGGAAAGAUCCUGCACUUGAGAUUUUACAAAUCACAAUAUAUAGCAAGGCACAGAGGAAUGGGAGCCCCCAUUCAGUGCAUGAAUGAAAAAGCUGGUGUAAAAACUAGAGUGGUAGUUUCUAAAAAGAAAUUAAUAAUAAUACAAAAUUAUCAUAGAUUCAGAAAUUCCAUUCAUUUGUAUCAAGUAAGAGAAAUAAAAAUGUGCACACCAA
rnacentral:lncRNA from 1 species